GGAAAUGAAUUAGGCUCUUGAUUCAAGUCCUUGGUGAAUGAUUCAGGUGAGGCAGCAUCAAAGAGACAAAAUAUGGAAAUAAUUGUGGCAUCGGGGGGAGAACAGGUGCAUCCUAUUACACCAUUAGCUAAAGAAAAAUGAAAAAGGUACCCCAUCGAGCCAUGGAAGAGUGCUUCCUCAUCUGGUUCUGACUCUUCUCCAUAAUAAAAGGUAAUUAUUUUGAAGCAGUAUGGCAUAGUAUCAGAUAUGUCCCAAAGCUCAACCAUUGUUAUUGCUCAAAACAGAUAGAAGGUAGUUGUGGCUCAGUAGGCACAAAAGGGUGUUUGGAGAC
rnacentral:lncRNA from 1 species